UCUGAGAAUGGCUUUAACCAAUAAGCCACUUGGGUAUCUAGGGUAUAGUGUAAAAGUGAGGACCUGGUUCCUCCAGCCCCUCCAGUGAGACUGAGGGUUGUCAGGAGGAAAACACGGGCCCAGUAGAGGAGGCUCAUCUGAGAGAAAAAGGGGGAGAUCUGGAGGCUGGGAGUCAACCAAUCAGGCUCUGCAGACCUGUGCUUGUGCUAGCUGGUGCCACCAGCAGGUGUGAGCAAGGAAGGCAAAGGUACAGGGCUGCUUCAGAGGACCCCUCUCCUGACCUGACGUAAGCACUGCAGAGUGGGGGCUUUGGCAGAGCUCUCCUCCCGGGAUACAAAGGAUGCCUGUUGGUAUUGCCAAGUAAGGGAGAACAGGUAUUGGGAAGGAUAGCCUGGUCCCCAGUUCUGAGGUGGCCAUGGCCAACCUCUGGGGAUGCUAAAGGUGGGCUGCCUACCCAGACCAAGGCAAUGAGGCAGACCCUGAACUGCCCAUGUUCCAAGCUCUGCUUCAGCCAGACUAGGACCCCUGAAGCCUGUUGGAUGCUCACCCCUCUCUUUUUCUCUGAAGGGCGGAACGGUCUGGGGGGAGGGGUCUGAGUACCCCCUUCAGGCAGCAGCUGCAGCUGGGAACUGGCAGGCAGAUGGAGGUCCUGCUCCCUGGAAGGCCUGGCUACACCCAGCCUCAUGGCCCACCUGCUUCACUCCGACUCUACCACUAGACAAGGGUUUUUCAGAAAAUGGCGACACAAACACCCCACCACCACCACGACAACAACACAAACCAAAGUGCACUCCAAACCGCCCUUUGGCCUCCUUCAAUGUAGGUGCCUUGAAACUUCAAUGUUGAGAUGAAUGUGACUAAUUAAUUGGUCCUAUUUUCUGUUUGUCUGUUUCAUAUAAAAUGUCCAAGUCCACCUGCCUUGUCCUUUCUUGAAAUAAAUAGAAAGAUUUAAA
rnacentral:lncRNA from 1 species